GUUCUCCUGGAAAAGGGUGGUAAUGCCGGAUGCUCCAGUUGAUCGCAUGGUCUUCUGGGAAAGCUUUCGCGGUAUGGGAUGGGGUCGCGUCCUAUCAGCUUGACGGCGGGGUAACGGCCCACCGUGGCUUCGACGGGUAGCCGGCCUGAGAGGGCGACCGGCCACAUUGGGACUGAGAUACGGCCCAGACUCCUACGGGAGGCAGCAGUGGGGAAUAUUGCACAAUGGGCGCAAGCCUGAUGCAGCGACGCCGCGUGAGGGAUGGAGGCCUUCGGGUUGUAAACCUCUUUUAUCGGGGAGCAAGCGAGAGUGAGUUUACCCGUUGAAUAAGCACCGGCUAACUACGUGCCAGCAGCCGCGGUAAUACGUAGGGUGCAAGCGUUAUCCGGAAUUAUUGGGCGUAAAGGGCUCGUAGGCGGUUCGUCGCGUCCGGUGUGAAAGUCCAUCGCUUAACGGUGGAUCCGCGCCGGGUACGGGCGGGCUUGAGUGCGGUAGGGGAGACUGGAAUUCCCGGUGUAACGGUGGAAUGUGUAGAUAUCGGGAAGAACACCAC
rnacentral:rRNA from 1 species